rnacentral:rRNA from 1 species
CCUACGGGAGGCAGCAGUAGGGAAUAGUGCUCAAUGGGGGAAACCCUGAAGCAGCAACGCCGCGUGGAGGAUGAAGGUGUUCGGAUUGUAAACUCCUUUUGGUAGAGAAGAGAAUGACGGGAGCUAACGAAUAAGCACCGGCGAACUCCGUGCCAGCAGCCGCGGGAAUACGGAGGGUGCAAGCGUUACUCGGAAUCACGGGGCGUAAAGAGCGCGUAGGAGGGAUAGCAAGUCAGAUGUGAAAUCCUAUGGCUUAACCAUAGACCUUCAUUUGAAACUGUUAUUCUAGAGUAUGGGAGAGGUAGGUGUAAUUCUUGGUGUCGCGGUCAACUCCGUAUAGAUCUAGA